GGUCUCCCCUCCAGUCCUUUCUUCCUCUCCUGUAGUUUGUUAAAUUCUCUGAUAUUCACAAAACACCAGGAUCUUUCUAGUGCUUUUCCUAAUCCUUUAGCAAAAAGAAAACAACUAGCUCUGUUUAUUUUCCUUUGCAGAGUGUAGACAGUUUUGACAACAACAAUGUAGGAUCCAGCAGUUUCAAUGACAAUGGAAACAGCUUUAAUUCUGGACGUUUUGGAGGGAAUAGUGGAAGCUUUGAUAACAACAAGGUUGGCGACAACAGCUUCAAUGACAAUGGAAAUUCCUAUAAUGGACCCGAAAUCGUGUACUAAAAGCCUAUCACCAGUGGUCCAGAUGAUUUCUGCCCAGACUUUUCAUCAAGGAUAUCAUUGCUGACUCAAAUGAUUCUUUUUUACUUGGUGUUGAACCUUUAUCUGGUACCGACUGUACAAAAGCUGCUUCUUGCAAAUAAAGUAACAUGACUUAAUCAAUAUACCUUGCACAACAACAGUUGUGCCUCAGUGUGAAUUUAUUACCUACUUCAUCUAUCUACAAUCCAAUGAAUUAAAAAAGCCCUAUCAGGGGUGAAAUCCAGCAGGUUCUGAUAGAUUCUGGAGAACCGGUAGCAGAAAUUUUGAGUAGUUCAGAGAAACAGCAAAUACCACCUCUGGCUGGCCCCAGAAUGGGGUGGGAAUGGAGAUUUUGCAAUAUCCUUCUCCCAGGAGGGGAGGGAAUGGAGAUGUUGCAGUAUCCUUCCCCUGGAGUGGGGUGGGAAUGGAGAUUUUGCAAUAUCCUUCCCCUGCCAUGCCCACCAAGCCACGCUCACAGAAAUGGUAGGGAAAAAUUUUGGAUUCACCCCUAGGCCCUAUGGAUUAAAAUGGUUUUAUGGAUUAAUUUGAAAGGAGUGGAGUGGUGGCCUAGAGGUGGAGCUUUCACCUCACAAUCAGGAGACUAUGAGAUUGAAUAGAAUAGAAUAGAAUAGAAUAACAGAGUUGGAAGGGACCUUGGAGGUCUUCUAGGCCAACCCCCUGCUUAGGCAGGAAACCCUACACCACUUCAAACAAAUGGUUAUCCAACAUCUUCUUAAAAAUUUCCAGUGUUGGAGCAUCACAACUUCUGCAGCCAAGUUGUUCCACUGAUUAAUUGUCCUGUCAGGAAAUUUCUCCUUAGUUCUAAAUUGCUUCUCUCCUUGAUUAGUUUCCACCCGUUGCUUCUUGUCCUGACUUCAGGUGCUUUGGAGAAUAGCUUGACUCCCUCUUCUUUGUGGCAGCCCCUGAGAUAUUGGAAGACUGCUAUCAUGUCUCCCCUAGUCCUUCUUUUCAUUCAACUAGACAUACCCAGUUCAAUACCCAGAUUGAUCCUAGAUAGUGGCAGAUAUUUCUCUCUCUGAGCACAAAAGGAAAAUAUCUGCUGUGAACUCCAUGUAGGUCUCAGGAAGGGCAUCCAGCCAGUAAAUGCUCAGCUCCAUUUAGUCAUCCUGACUCCAGCCUGUUGCAAGGGAUUGGUCAAAAAGCCAUCCAUCAAAGAUUUGGGGAACUCACUGGCCUUAACUGGGUUAGAGGGAGAAGAAAAUUGUGUUAGUUUUUUUUAAUUGUAUAGAUGUGGGAUUUUAAAUUGGGAGGCUGAUUGAUUUAAUUUAUUUUAGUUAUUUUUAACUUUUAUAUUAUAUGUAUCUUAAUUUCGGCUGUUCACCGCCCUGAGUCCUUCGGGAGAAGGGCGUUAUACAAAUUUAAAUAAAUAAAUAAAUAAAUAAAUAAAUAAAUAAAUAAAUAAAUAAAUAAAUAAAUAAAGUUAGUAACACGGCUGUUAAAUGAAUAUGGUUUCCCUGUUGACUUUCCUGGUCAGAAGGUGGCAAAAAGGGAUCCGGUGACCUCGGGGACACUUAUGCCAUUGCCAUAAGUCUGAAACAGUAGCCAAGUGCUCAGAUUUUGAACGCUGACCAUGGGGGAUGCUGUAGUGAUCCUAAGUAUGAAAAUACGGUCAUAAGUCACUUUUUUUCAAUGCCGUCGUAACUUUACUACACGGAUGGUUGUAAAUUGAGGAGUCCCUGGCCCAAGGCUGAUGCUAGGCUUACAAGACAGA